rnacentral:rRNA from 1 species
ANNGGNCUAUNAUGCAGUGAGCGAAUGAUGAGGAGCUUGCUCCUCUGAUUUAGCGGCGGACGGGUGAGUAACACGGUGGGUAAUCUGCCUGUAAGACGGGGAUAACUCCGGGAAACCGGGGCUAAUACCGGAUAACAAGAGAAGAUGCAUAUCUUCUUUUUGAAAGUCGGUUUCGGCUGACACUUACAGAUGAGCCCGCGGCGCAUUAGCUAGUUGGUGAGGUAACGGCUCACCAAGGCGACGAUGCGUAGCCGACCUGAGAGGGUGAUCGGCCACACUGGGACUGAGACACGGCCCAGACUCCUACGGGAGGCAGCAGA